rnacentral:rRNA from 1 species
UGGGGAAUUUUGGACAAUGGGGGAAACCCUGAUCCAGCCAUCCCGCGUGUGCGAUGAAGGCCUUCGGGUUGUAAAGCACUUUUGGCAGGAAAGAAACGUCGCGGGUUAAUACCCCGCGAAACUGACGGUACCUGCAGAAUAAGCACCGGCUAACUACGUGCCAGCAGCCGCGGUAAUACGUAGGGUGCAAGCGUUAAUCGGAAUUACUGGGCGUAAAGCGUGCGCAGGCGGUUCGGAAAGAAAGAUGUGAAAUCCCAGAGCUUAACUUUGGAACUGCAUUUUUAACUACCGGGCUGGAGUGUGUCAGAGGGAGGUGGAAUUCCGCGUGUAGCAGUGAAAUGCGUAGAUAUGCGGAGGAACACCGAUGGCGAAGGCAGCCUCCUGGGAUAACACUGACGCUCAUGCACGAAAGCGUGGGGAGCAAACAGGAUUAGAUACCCUGGUAGUCCACGCCCUAAACGAUGUCAACUAGCUGUUGGGGGCCUUCGGGCCUUGGUAGCGCAGCUAACGCGUGAAGUUGACCGCCUGGGGAGUACGGUCGCAAGAUUAAAACUCAAAUGAAUUGACGGGGUCAUAGCUGUUUUCCU